CCUCCCCGAAGGGCGGCAGCCUGGCAGGGCCCGAGAGCUGCCCGCGGUGGGGAGGGGAUAGCGGGGCGGACCCGGAGGACAUGGAGGGCGAGGAGGCCCCGUCAUGGCGGGGUCCCGGCGGGGCCGUGCGGGAGCUCUGCCGCUCCUUCGGCCACUACAACCGGCACCUGGCGCGGCUGCAGCACAACCUGCGAGAGACCAAGAGGUUCUUCCGCGACGUCAAGUUCUCCCAGGGACAUCCCUUCGCCUCGGCGCCUGCCGGUGACGGCCCCCGCUCCGCCUGGGAUGGGGAUGGGGGUCCCGGGGACGGCGGCCACGGCCCGGUGUCGUUCCCGCGGCACGAGGAGGAGCAGCUGCAGCGCUCGGUGAGCUGGCGGCCGUGCCUGCUGAUCCUGGGCCAGAACUGCCGCGCCAAGGGCCGCCUGCUCAACACGCUGCUGGGCCAGGAGCUGCUGCCCGUGCCCGGGGCUGCCACUGCCACCAAGGAGCUGCUGCCCACCCCUGGGGCUGCCACUGCCACCGAGGAACUGCUGCCCACCCCUGGGGCUCCCACCGCGGCGCUGCUGCCUGGGGCUGGCACCAAGGAGCUGCUGCCCACCCCCGGGGCUGGCACUGGCACUGAAGAGCUGCUUUCCACCACUGGCACUGAAGAGCUGCUUUCCACCGCUGGGACUGUCACCAAGGAGCUGCUGCCCACCCCCGGGGCUGGCACGGGCACCGAGGAGCGCUGCCGGCGCCGCCGGGUGCGCUUCACGCACGGGGCGCGGCCGCGGCUGAGCCUGGCGCUGCCCGGGCAGUACGAGCUGGUGCAGGCGCUGGUGGCACACAGCGGGCACUGGGACACCAUCCCCGAGCAGGACCUGCAGGUGCCCGGGGACGCCGAGGAUCCCGCGCAGAGGGUGGCAGAGCUGGAGGUGGUGCUGCCCUGCGCGCUGCUCAAGGAAGUGGACAUUGUGGUGGCUCCGUGCCGGGGCUUCCAGUCAGCUGAGGCCACCCUGGCCGAGUUUGUGAACCAGGUGCUGCCCGUUGUCACCUUUGCCAUCAGCGAGCCCCAGCUGUCCCCAUCGGACCAGGCAGAACUUCGGGAAAUCAAAGAAAAAUUCUCCCUCCCCAUCUUCUUCCUCCGAAUCCCCGAGGCCGGCAGUGAGCUGAGCUCCCCCAAAAACCCCACCAAGGCCAAAUCCCCGCUGCACCUCCAGCUGCUGGAUCUGGAAUACCUGAGCCCCUCCAGCCCCUGCGGCUGCGGCGUUCCCGGCUCUUCCAUGCUGGUGGAGCAGCUGGAGAAGCUGCGGCUGCUGAGCUCCUUCUCCAGGCAGGUGCUGCAGCAGCACCUGGUGGAGGCGGCCACGAGGCUGAGCGAGGUUCACGGGCGCUGCCUCAACAUCUUCAUCAACCAGGCCUUCGACAUGCAGCGGGACCUGCAGAUCACGCCCAAGCGGCUGGAGUACACGCGCAGGAAGGAGAACGAGCUCUACGAGUCGCUGAUGGGCAUCGCCAACCGCAAGCAGGAGGAGAUGAAGGAGAUGAUCGUGGACACCCUGGGGAAUAUGAAGGAGGAGCUGCUGGAGGAUGCUGCCAGUAUGGAGUUCCGAGACAUCAUCAUUCCCGAGAGCGGCGAGCCCGUCAGCUCCAAGGACAUCAAGCGCUGCAUCCAGCAGAUCCAGGAGCUGAUCAUCUCCAGGCUGAACCAGGCCGUGGCCAACAAACUGAUCAGCUCCGUGGAUUACCUGCGCGAGAGCUUCGUGGGGACCCUGGAGCGCUGCCUCAAGAGCCUGGAGGAGUCCUGGGAGGGCUCCGUGCACCCGCCCCGGGGGCUGGAGAAACCCCGCGAGGCCUCCGGCCACAUCACCAGCAACUAUCUCAAACAGAUCCUGAACGCAGCCUAUCACGUGGAGGUCACUUUCCACUCGGGCUCCACGGUGACCAGGAUGCUGUGGGAACAGAUCAAACAGAUAAUCCAGCGGAUCACGUGGGUCAGCCCCCCGGCCAUCACCAGCGACUGGAAGAGGAAGGUGGCCCAGGAUGCCAUCGAGAGCCUCAGCGCCUCCAAACUGGCCAAGAGCAUCUGCAGCCAGUUCCGCACGCGCCUCAACAGCUCCCACGAGGCCUUCGCCGCCUCCCUGCGCCAGCUGGAGGACGGCCACUCGGGCCGGCUCGAGAGGACCGAGGACCUGUGGCUGCGCGUGAGGAAGGAGCACGCGCCGCGGCUGGCCCGGCUCUCGCUGGAGAGCAGAUCCCUGCAGGACGUGCUGCUGCACGGGAAGCCCAAGCUGGGCAGGGAGCUGGGCCGAGGCCAGUACGGGGUGGUGUACCUGUGUGACAGCUGGGGGGGACACUUCCCCUGCGCCCUCAAAUCCGUCGUCCCUCCGGAUGAGAAGCACUGGAACGACCUGGCACUGGAAUUUCACUACAUGAGGUCCCUGCAGUCCCACGAGAGGCUGGUGCACCUGCAUGGCUCCGUUAUUGAUUAUGGCUAUGGAGGAGGCUCCAGCAUUGCUGUGCUGCUGAUCAUGGAGAGGCUGCACAGGGACCUCUACACGGGGCUGAAGGCUGGGCUGGAAUUGGAGCCACGGUUGCAGAUUGCGUUGGAUGUGGUGGAAGGGAUCCGGUACCUGCACAGCCAGGGCUUGGUGCACAGGGAUAUCAAACUCAAAAACGUCCUGCUGGACAAAAAGAAUCGGGCCAAAAUCACGGAUUUGGGGUUCUGCAAACCCGAGGCGAUGAUGUCUGGCAGCAUCGUGGGCACCCCCAUCCACAUGGCUCCCGAGCUCUUCACAGGGAAAUACGACAAUUCCGUGGAUGUUUAUGCCUUUGGGAUCCUGUUCUGGUACCUCUGCUCGGGCCACGUGAAGUUACCCGAGGCUUUUGAGAGGUGUGCGAGCAAAGAUCACCUGUGGAACAACGUCAGGAGAGGGGUGCGUCCGGAGCGGCUCCCGGUGUUUGACGAGGAAUGCUGGCAGCUGAUGGAAGCCUGCUGGGACGGGGACUCCUCCCAGCGGCCUCUCCUGGGAAUCGUGCAGCCCAUGCUCCAGGGAAUCAUGGACAGGCUCUGCCGGGCCGGCUCCGAGCAUCCCAGCAAAGGCCUGGAUGACUCCACCUGAGCGGGAAUUGCGGCGGGAUUUUGGGAAUUCCAGCCCCGCCUCUGCCGUGGAGCUGCGAGCCAGCCCUGAGGGGGGACAGGGAGGAGCUCCAAGGGGUGGCAGCUCCAUCCCAAUCCCACCCCGUUAUCCUAUGGAAUUGUGUGGGACAGGGAGGGGCUCAGGGAGUGACAGCUCAAUCCCACCCCGUUAUCCUAUGGAAUUGUGUGGGACAGGGAGGGGCUCAGGGGGUGACAGCUCAAUCCCACCCCGUUAUCCUAUGGAAUUGUGUGGGACAGGGGGGGGCUCAAGGGGUGGCAGCUCCAUCCCAAUCCCACCCUGUUAUCCUAUGGAAUUGUGUGGGACAGGGAGGGGUGACAGCUCAAUCCCACCCCGUUAUCCCUACGGAAUUGUUUGGGACAGGGGGUGGCAGCUCCAUCCCAAUCCCACCCUGUUAUCCCUACGGAAUUGUUUGGGACAGG